GGGUGGGAGAGUGCUGGGCGGGACAAAGGGACUGCAGGUGCUAUGCACAGGGCCUCAGGAGACUAUGGAGGCUGAGUCUAAGUCACCAGCACGGAGGCCACUUCCCCUGAGAUGCCACCAGGAGAGCUCUGAUAGGAUGUGUCUGGGACUCUCCUAGGUGUGCAAACAUUUUUCUCCUCACCGCCCUCCAUGGUGUUCAAGCCAAAGCAUGGGGAUGGUGGCAAGUGGGCGGGCGGGCAGGCAGGCGGGCGGCAGAACCCAGCCCCCUGGCCGCCUGUGCAGUGCUUUCCCAGGCCAGUGCUGCCUUAAGAGCUGGGCUCCUCAGCUCAGGCUGCAGCGCUGCUCCUCACAGCUGUGAGAGCACCUGAGAUAACCCACAGGCUGGGCCAGCAG
rnacentral:lncRNA from 1 species